rnacentral:rRNA from 1 species
GGAGUCACGCCAGAAAUCUUACCCGGAGAGACAGCAGAAUGAAGGUCAAGCUGAAGACUUUACCAGACAAGCUGAGAGGUGGUGCAUGGCCCCCUCCAGCUCGUGCCGUGAGAUGUCCUGUUAAGUCAGGUAACGAGCGAGAUCCUCGCCACUAGUUGCUAUCAUUAUUCUCAGGAAUAGUGGGGCGAAUUAGUGGGACUGCCGUUGUUAAAACGGAGGAAGGAGGGGGCUACGGCAGGUCAGUAUGCCCCGAAACUCUGGGGCCACACGCGGGCUGCAAUGGUAGCGACAAUGAGCUCCAAACUCGAAAGAGAGUGGCAAUCUCUAAACGCUACCACAGUUAUGACUGAGGGCUGUAACUCGCCCUCACGAAUAUGGAAUCCCUAGUAACCGCGUGUCAUUACCGCGCGGUGAAUACGUCCCUGCUCCUUGCACACACCGCCCGUCGUUUCAUCGAAGUUUGCUUUUAGCGAGGUGAUGUUUAAUUGACAUUAUCGAACUUGAGGUAAGUGACGAGGGAAAAGUCGUAACAAGGUGACCGUAGGGGAACCUGCGGUCGGAUCA